rnacentral:rRNA from 1 species
UACAGAGGGUGCGAGCGUUGUUCGGAAUUAUUGGGCGUAAAGGGCGCGUAGGCGGUGCGGUAAGUCAUCUGUGAAAUCUCCUGGCUCAACUGGGAGCUUGCAGGCGAAACUGCCGUGCUGGAGUGUGGGAGAGGUGCGUGGAAUUCCUGGUGUAGCGGUGAAAUGCGUAGAUAUCAGGAGGAACACCUGUGGCGAAAGCGGCGCACUGGACCACAACUGACGCUGAGGCGCGAAAGCUAGGGGAGCAAACAGG